GUGUUGUGAUUGGAGUGUAAUGGAAAUGUUAUGACCCUUAACCAGUGCAACAAGACAGAAAUGAUAAAAAAAUCAUUAUAAACGAGGCAUUUGCUGCAUCCAAGCGGGCUGGUCUCCGCUUUGUCCACAGUGAAAGCCGAUCCAGUGAUCCACAGCAUGAAGUUGAUAUAUUUCCUCAGUGACCAGCACGGAUCAGCUCUAGUCAUGUUGAAACGGAUAUAAUCCCCUUUUGGAAGGCCAAAAAAAAAAAAGAAUUUGCUUUAAAAAUGAAUCACUGAGAAUCUCUACAACGGCGGUGGCGACAGCAACAAUACUACAGCAAGAAUGAAAGUUACGCCUUCUUUCUUUGCGUGAACAUUUGGGCGGUUUUAUGCAAAUCUUCCCAUAUAGUGAUGUAGACAUGUGGGGAUUUGUUAGAAUGAGAUGUUUUAGGGGGACGUGGUUGACUCUUAACUGUUAUAAAGAAUAUCUCUGGAUUUGAGACUUUAGUCUUUGCUAAUUUACAGAUCUUCUUCAUGCACCAAGAGCUUGUAACACUCCAAAGAGAAAGGAAAUAUUGAAAUCGCAUCAUAUGACCCAUUUAAUACUAUCUGCUGUCAGUCUGGUGUGUAAGUGCUUGUGUUGUUGGUCAGAAACUGCCACUGACUCACUUAAACACCAGGUAUUUGCUAAUGUUUCUGAUUGUGUAAAUGUAGUUGCGUUGCAUCAUUGCUUCAUAAGUUAAACAAGAGUUUGUGUCAGAAAGAGGAUCUUGAACCUAAGAGCUGUAAACCUUUAUCUAUUAAAAAAUCUUGAUACUCCUGCAGUCAUGAUGAGUAUUUUUACGAAGCAAUCACGUUUCACAUAUUCUCUCACAAAGAUUUAACAAAAGUGAAUUCUGAAGCUUAUUUGUUUGGAUCUGGAGACUUUUCUAGUUGUUGUUGUGUAGUUGAGAUGGUGUUACGCAUACGCAGAAAGAGGAAUCUUUAAAUGCAGAUUCAUGUGUGAAAACUGACACAUGAAGCUGCUGAUAUUUCUCUCAUUUGGGUGCCGACACUGAGACAUUGACACUGCAGCGUGUUUUAUGAUUGCAGAAAUCACUAUGGCGACAUCACUCAUGAUGUCACUUCCUCUGAUCUUUGUGGUCAUGACUGCGGGGGGUGAUGGUCUGCAGGAUUGGGGAGUGAAUUACAGCACUUCAUAUGUUUGUGCAUUAAAGGGUUCAACAGUGAAAAUGUCUUGUACUUUAAAAUAUCCUAGUGAUUAUAAGAUUGAAACAGUCUUCUGGACCAAACCUGC